ACAGUAAACAAAAUGGUUAACAAAUAUCUAUGGUUUUCUAAAGCAACAUAAAACAUGAUCAUGUUUGUUGAAUGAAUUAUAUUAUUAAAAAAUGAAAAACUCUCCAAAACGCUCUGAAGGUUAGCUUUAGGCAACACUGAAGUUGAAGAGGGUAAGACUCUAAAGCCCUAUCUAUAUGGAGACACCUAGGAAAAUUAAAAAGAAUCAAGUUACAAUGUCCUUUGGCCAUUUUAGGACAGAAACAUCCAUAUGGGCCUUUAAAGAGUUAACUUUAGAAAGAGGAGUGCAGCUACAAGAGAGUGGUUGGUAUAAGCUGCAGGGGAUAUACUAGGUUUUGCUUCUUAAGGACAUGUGUACUGAAUGCUAAUUGGUGGCCAGCAGACAAAGGGAAGACUUCCUGGACAGUAGUAAAGAAUUCUUGCUACAGAUACAGCAAGGAGAAAAAGUGAGGCUGAAGAAUAAGUAAGAGAAUUGGCAGUUUUUGACAACCAGGAAGAAGUGAACUGUAAGACACUGAACUCAGAGAUGAGCAACCAACUUCCAGGUUCUUCUCAGAGCUACUGUAGAGAGUAUUUCAGCUGGAACAUGCAACACUAACACUGACUAGAAGUUAGAAAACCUAUAACCUAAAAAUGGGAGGUCCAUGCCCAAGAAAAGGAGGAGGAUGGAGGUCACAGAUUCCUUCAUAUGGGGAGGGAGAAACCAAUCUGUUGGUCUGACUCUGGGUGACAGUGCCUAUCUGGAGCUUGAAUUCAGAACAUGGUAGACAAGUUGCUGAGACUCAUCAUCAGACUCAUUUAAUUACGGCCAAAAAAAAUGGGCAGCUUGCUUCUGAGGCUGCCGGAUGGGAACCUGAACAGAUGAAAGAAGAUAACAAACAUCUAAGCAGAGGGAUAAUUAGGGGUUAGAGUUAGGGGCACUAAUACCACUCUCAUCGACCCUCUUUGUGAAGAUCAAGGCACAGACACCAAUGUGCAUCCUGAACCCAAAUGCAUAGUUAUGAAGCUGACUACCACAAGAGGGGCUUGGGCGUCUUUGACAACGGAAAAAUAUUCUAUGAUAGAAGAUUGCUGGACAGGAGUGGGAUCCAUGAGAUGAAGUUUAUGAACAGCACCUCUAGAUAGUGACCAGCAAACCUGGUGAGGAGGGCUUUAAUGUAGGUUUCAUGAGGGAUGGUGACAAAAAUGGACAGGAUACAUUAAAAAAGUAAGAAUGAAGGAUGGGGAACUGGAGGAUGAAUUCUGGAGAAGGGGCUAGAAAUUUCAAUAAGGCUAAAGACAAUGCAGAGCAAAAAAUACAGGCUACCUACACCAUUUAUUUUCAAUGCCUACAUACCAAUUUGAGGAGUGUGGGAGAACAAGAAAGACGAACUGCACAUCAGUGUGGAAGGGAAGCUAUGCUCUAACUGGCAUUACAGAGCUGUGGGAAGGCCCCAUUCCUUCUGUUUUAUUGCCCACAGGGUCAUUCCAUUUUGCUAUAGUUGAGAAACAGAAUUUAAAUGAUGUAUAACUCCUAUAAAUGGCAGUUACGCAGCUGCAGAUGUGCCAUACAGACACAAAGUGAAACAGAAUUUAGCCCAAAAUGUCCAGCAAGUUCCCAAUGUGCAAGAACACCUUUCUGGUCCAGAAAGUCGAAGAAUCAACCAAGGGAUUAUUUUUUAAUGGUUUCUAAUCAAUAGGUAAGAACUGGUUAAAAAACAGUGAUUGCAGAAUGGGUGGAGAUGGUCGUGAACUGAGAAAGUUCAUAAUUCUAAAAACAGCAAGGCAGAUGAACAGCAAAAUACACAAGAAGAAAGUCAAAUCAGGAGGUUUUAAGGUUCUAUUUCUUAAGAAAUAUUCAUUUGUUACAGACAAACCAUGUCAAGACAAACUAGUUUCUUUCUUUGACAGGAUAACUGAAGACAAAGGGAAUACAGCAGUUAUAUAUCUUGACAUCAGUAGGAGUUUUGACAUGGUGCAUAUCACAUAGAUUCAUAGACAUUAGGGCUGGAAGGGACCUUGGAAGAUCAUUGAGUCCAGCCCCCUGCCCCAGGGGCAGGAAGUCAGCAGGGAUCAUAGGAUCCCAGCAAGAUAAACUUCCAAAAGUCUCUUGAAGGCAUUCAAAGUAGUUGCUUGAC